CUGCGGUUGGAUCACCUCCUUUCUAGAGUACAAACUGAUAAGUCUCACCACUAUCAGUUCAUAUAUAGACUCAAUCAUCCUUGUUUAGAUUUCAAAGAUUGAUGAAAAGCUAAUUUUGGGGAAUUAGCUCAGCUGGGAGAGCGCCUGCUUUGCACGCAGGAGGUCAGCGGUUCGAUCCCGCUAUUCUCCACCAUUUAUUAAGGGCCUAUAGCUCAGCUGGUUAGAGUGCACCCCUGAUAAGGGUGAGGUCACAAGUUCAAGUCUUGUUAGGCCCACCAUAAAAAAGAUUUGUUUAUCAAUCAUAUAAUAAAGUUUUAAAACUUAAAGCAAGUAUAUAGCUAAUAUAAAGUAAUAAGUAAAGUAAAAUACUUUAUUACUUAUGUUUUUAAAUUAUUUAAACUCUUUAUAUAUACUUCCUUUAGGUGUUAAGACCUAAGCUAAAUAAAUAAUAGAAUAUUUUAUAUAUGAGAUUAGUUAUUUAAUGUUAUUUGAAUUAUCAUUGUUAAGAGUCACAAGCAAGUUUUAAUAAAAACAAUUUUACAGGACUUGUUAAAGGAUAGAACCUAACUAUCUUUUCUUUAGCUUUUAGUUAAAGACAAGUUUUUAAACUCACAACUUAGUUAGACUAAGAUUUUUAGUUUUUAUUAAGGUGGUUUAAAUGCAUUCCGUCUUACGAUAGUAAAGUAUUAUCAUAAAAACUUGACCAGGGACGUGAUGCGUUGUUAGAAUGACUUUCAACAGGUAAGCUAUUAACAGCGAAUGG
rnacentral:misc_RNA from 1 species